UACGGAGGGUCCAAGCGUUAUCCGGAAUCAUUGGGUUUAAAGGGUCCGUAGGCGGUUUUGUAAGUCAGUGGUGAAAGCCCAUCGCUCAACGGUGGAACGGCCAUUGAUACUGCAAGACUUGAAUUAUUGGGAAGUAACUAGAAUAUGUAGUGUAGCGGUGAAAUGCUUAGAGAUUACAUGGAAUACCAAUUGCGAAGGCAGGUUACUACCAAUAUAUUGACGCUGAUGGACGAAAGCGUGGGGAGCGAACGAGGAAUUAUAUACCCCUCGUAG
rnacentral:rRNA from 1 species